CAUGCCCGCACCCCGUCCCUCCCGAUCCCUCUCCUCUUGCGACCUAGGGUCAAUCCUUGUGCCGCCACCUUGAGCGAGACGACCGCCUGUGUGCAAGGAAGAUGUGAAGGGGCAGUACCCAGUACUGCGCUCGCAACCCUAACGGAGCCGCCAGUGACAGACGCCCCAUGGCAGGCGACGACAACGACGUGGCGAAGAACUUGGUGGCGGUAUAGGCGAGGAUGAGCCGGGAGGAGUCUCGGUGGUGGUGGGAAAGAACGGCGGAGGGUAAGAUAGACCCUCUCUUUAACGGCGUACCUUCAGCCUCCAUACCCAGUCUCAUUUCUCCUCGCCCCUGAUUCGCCGAUGAGGCCACCACGCAGCGGCGCUGCAGCCUACAGUUCGUACCGUGAUCAUCCUCCUCAUCUUGAUCCAAAGGCAAGGUUUAGUUUGAAGCCCAACCGUAGAGAAGAUUAAUGAGACACUUUGGGAUGAUAAAAUUGCAAGGAACCAUGCAGGCCACAUAAGAGCAUGGAUUCCACAUUUUCAGAACAACAUAUCAAGUAUUAGUGUUACUACUGAAUGGAGACAGCUUUUUUGGUAGGGUUCAUUCUCCAAGCUGGGCCUUUUGCCACGGGAAAGUCUGGUUGUCGUGAAGCAUGAAGUCAUCGUUGCACCACACUCAAAAUUGAAAACUUUUGGCAUAAGACUUGACAAGGGAACCUACCCUGAGUCUUUGCUAAGAUCUUAUUCAACUUGUGAGAGUUGUGCCCGUGCCGGAAACAAAUUGGAUCGUGGGCGGAGCACAUAAUUGCGAAGUGGAGCUGCUCAGAUCGCAGUUGUUCUAGACUGGUCGUCCAAAUAUUGCAGGAAAAGAAUAGGUCAUGGCGAUGGCGGUGUCCGGUGUCACUUCCUCCAUUCUCUACAGUUUUGUGUAUCUCCCCUCCUUUUGUGCAUCCCCUAUUUUCUACUGCAAGUUACUUACUUGAUCGGAUCUCCAUGAUGUGGAACGAGAGAGGAAGAGAGGCUGAGCAUGAAAGCAUGCCAAGGCGAGUUGAACUACCACAGAACAAAGGCUUGCCAUUAGCCAGUGGCUUCCUCCUUAUCGCGCAUGCCCUUCUCAUUGUUACAGCUGCGUCUUUAUAUUUAGGAAACUUAUUGUCAAAAUGGACAGGCAUGGCAACGUGGUUAGAAGCUUCUCAACAAGGAGGAAUUCGAGCUACUUACUGCUUGGUUUCUUUCAUUCUUCCAGCUGAAUCUGCCGUCAUACAAUGGCUAACGGAUAGGUACAUGGUGCGUCACGAUGCUGACAAUUUAGGGGAACCCGAGUUUGUGUUCUUUGCUUCAGUUGUUGAACAAGCUAUUGGAAAGAGACUUUAAGUUAUCAUGCACGAUGCAUCAGACCGCCCAUUUGCUGUUCCUGCAGAGAUAUCAGCCUUGAUAUCCAAGAAAUUCACACUUCCCUUCACUCUCAAUGAGAAGGGCCUUCACUAUGGGCAACUCUCUUUCCAUGUGAACAGCACAUCAACAAAGACAUCUGUGCAAGCUAGCAAGGUAAACACUAUCAGUAACGACAAAGAACCCGAGGACAGGGACAUGGACAACAGUAAUGAAAGUGGUAAUGAAGGUCAUAUCUCUCCUACAGUUGAUUCAAGGGAACACAUAGCAUCAUUUCUGCCAAGGAAUAGGAAGCACCAUCUUUUGAAAUUGCUACUGUAAGCAAAAAUGAUUCACACACACUAGCAAGAAGCCAUCAAAAAGUACAGUAACUGAAGCCGACAAAUCAACUUCCACAAAGAAGAGGAUGCACUUAUCAUAAAAAGAGCUUCGAUCAGCGUAUUUCAAAAGCAAAUAGAGGAAUGGCGAACGUCUGCAUACGUCCAUCUUUUGAAGUUAUUUAGUUGCCCAUUAAUAAAUAUAUCUCUUGCGUGCGGAUGCUACUGCAUGAUCAGAUGAUCAACAACUUUUGCUACUGCAGGAUCAGAUGAUCAACAACUUUGUCUUCACCAGUUAACGUGUCUCGAUGGAUAAUCCUACCAAUGAACAGAAUCCAGGGACUGUUGAAGCAUGACAUAAGGCCCAGUCCAAGAUCAUACUUCUAGAUUAAUUCAAAAAGGCCAGUCCAAGAACGAAUUAAUAGCCCAAUAUCUUUAUCUUGUUUAAUCCUCCUG